GCCCGGCUGGCACAAUUGGUUAGCGCGUGGGCCUUUUAAACAGAAUCAGAUAGCAAUAUCUCUUCUAAUGAGAGCCCAAGGUUGAGAGUUCGAGCCUCUCGUCGGGCG